rnacentral:rRNA from 1 species
UACGAAGGGGGCUAGCGUUGCUCGGAAUCACUGGGCGUAAAGCGCACGUAGGCGGCGCCGUAAGUCAGGGGUGAAAUCCCGGAGCUCAACUCCGGAACUGCCCUUGAAACUGCAGUGCUAGAAUCUUGGAGAGGCGAGUGGAAUUCCGAGUGUAGAGGUGAAAUUCGUAGAUAUUCGGAAGAACACCAGUGGCGAAGGCGACUCGCUGGACAAGUAUUGACGCUGAGGUGCGAAAGCGUGGGGAGCGAUCCGG